rnacentral:rRNA from 1 species
GACGAACGCUGGCGGCGUGCUUAACACAUGCAAGUCGAGCGGGCCCGCUCUCUUUUUUGGGGGUGGGUUGAGUGGCGAACGGGUGAGUAUCACGUGAGUAACCUGCCCCCUGCUCCUGGAUAACUGCUUGAAAGGGCGGCUAAUACGGGGUGUGCCGGCUGGUCCGCAUGGGCCUGGUCGGGAUAGUUUCAUCUUCGGGUGUUUCGGUGGGGGAUGGGCUCGCGGCCUAUCAGCUUGUUGGUGGGGUGAUGGCCCACCAAGGCGGUGACGGGUAGCCGGCCUGAGAGGGUGGGCGGCCACACUGGGACUGAGACACGGCCCAGACUCCUGCGGGAGGCAGCAGUGGGGGGUAUUGCACAAUGGGCGGAAGCCUGAUGCAGCGACGUCGCGUGAGGGAUGGAGGCCUUCGGGUGGUGAACCUCUUUCUCCGGUGGUGAAGGCCCUGUCCGUUGCGGCGGGGUUGACGGUAGCCGGGGAUGAAGCGCCGGCUAACUACGUG